GAUGAAGAACGUAGCGAAAUGCGAUAAGUAAUGUGAAUUGCAGAAUUCCGUGAAUCAUCGAAUCUUUGAACGCAUAUUGCGCCCUCUGGUAUUCCGGGGGGCAUGCCUGUUCGAGCGUCAUUAUAACCACUCAAGCUCUCGCUUGGUAUUGGGGUUCGCGGUUCCGCGGCCCCUAAAAUCAGUGGCGGUGCCUGUCGGCUCUACGCGUAGUAAUACUCCUCGCGAUUGAGUCCGGUAGGUCUACUUGCCAGCAACCCCCAAUUUUUACAGGUUGACCUCGGAUCAGGUAGGGAUACCCGCUGAACUUAAGCAUAUCAAUAAGCGGAGGA
rnacentral:misc_RNA from 1 species